UGGGGAAUAUUGCACAAUGGGCGAAAGCCUGAUGCAGCAACGCCGCGUGAGUGAUGAAGGCCUUCGGGUUGUAAAGCUCUGUCUUCUGGGACGAUAAUGACGGUACCAGAGGAGGAAGCCACGGCUAACUACGUGCCAGCAGCCGCGGUAAUACGUAGGUGGCAAGCGUUGUCCGGAUUUACUGGGCGUAAAGGAUGCGUAGGCGGAUACUUAAGUCAGAUGUGAAAAUCCCGGGCUUAACUUGGGAACUGCAUUUGAAACUGGGUAUCUAGAGUGCGGGAUAGGAAAGUGGAAUUCCUAGUGUAGCGGUGAAAUGCGUAGAGAUUAGGAAGAACACCAGUGGCGAAGGCGACUUUCUGGACCGUAACUGACGCUGAGGCAUGAAAGCGUGGGGAGCAAACA
rnacentral:rRNA from 1 species